rnacentral:miRNA from 1 species
UGUGUGUGUGUGUGUGUGUGUGUGUGUGUGUGUAUAUAUAUAUAUAUAUACACACACACACACACAUAUAUAUAUAUAUAUACACACACACACACACACACACACACACACACA